rnacentral:tRNA from 1 species
UCCGGGGUAGCUCAGUGGUUAGAGCAGCUGCCUGUUAAGCAGCCUGUCGUGGGUUCGAGUCCCACCCCCGGAGCCA